rnacentral:rRNA from 1 species
CGGACCGACGGGAGCUUGCUCCCUUAGGUCAGCGGCGGACGGGUGAGUAACACGUGGGUAACCUGCCUGUAAGACUGGGAUAACUCCGGGAAACCGGGGCUAAUACCGGAUGCUUGAUUGAACCGCAUGGUUCAAUCAUAAAAGGUGGCUUUUAGCUACCACUURCAGAUGGACCCGCGGCGCAUUAGCUAGUUGGUGAGGUAACGGCUCACCAAGGCGACGAUGCGUAGCCGACCUGAGAGGGUGAUCGGCCACACUGGGACUGAGACACGGCCCAGACUCCUACGGGAGGCAGCAGUAGGGAAUCUUCCGCAAUGGACGAAAGUCUGACGGAGCAACGCCGCGUGAGUGAUGAAGGUUUUCGGAUCGUAAAACUCUGUUGUUAGGGAAGAACAAGUACCGUUCGAAUAGGGCGGYACCUUGACGGUACCUAACCAGAAAGCCACGGCUAACUACGUGCCAGCAGCCGCGGUAAUACGUAGGUGGCAAGCGUUGUCCGGAAUUAUUGGGCGUAAAGCGCGCGCAGGCGGUUUCUUAAGUCUGAUGUGAAAGCCCCCGGCUCAACCGGGGAGGGUCAUUGGAAACUGGGGAACUUGAGUGCAGAAGAGGAGAGUGGAAUUCCACGUGUAGCGGUGAAAUGCGUAGAGAUGUGGAGGAACACCAGUGGCGAAGGCGACUCUCUGGUCUGUAACUGACGCUGAGGCGCGAAAGCGUGGGGAGCGAACAGGAUUAGAUACCCUGGUAGUCCACGCCGUAAACGAUGAGUGCUAAGUGUUAGAGGGUUUCCGCCCUUUAGUGCUGCAGCAAACGCAUUAAGCACUCCGCCUGGGGAGUACGGUCGCAAGACUGAAACUCAAAGGAAUUGACGGGGGCCCGCACAAGCGGUGGAGCAUGUGGUUUAAUUCGAAGCAACGCGAAGAACCUUACCAGGUCUUGACAUCCUCUGRCAACCCUAGAGAUAGGGCUUCCCCUUCGGGGGCAGAGUGACAGGUGGUGCAUGGUUGUCGUCAGCUCGUGUCGUGAGAUGUUGGGUUAAGUCCCGCAACGAGCGCAACCCUUGAUCUUAGUUGCCAGCAUUCAGUUGGGCACUCUAAGGUGACUGCCGGUGACAAACCGGAGGAAGGUGGGGAUGACGUCAAAUCAUCAUGCCCCUUAUGACCUGGGCUACACACGUGCUACAAUGGGCAGAACAAAGGGCAGCGAAGCCGCGAGGCUAAGCCAAUCCCACAAAUCUGUUCUCAGUUCGGAUCGCAGUCUGCAACUCGACUGCGUGAAGCUGGAAUCGCUAGUAAUUC